UGCUGAGAUGGAGAAGACCGGGGGCA
rnacentral:piRNA from 1 species